rnacentral:rRNA from 1 species
UCCUACGGGAGGCAGCAGUGGGGAAUUUUCCGCAAUGGGCGAAAGCCUGACGGAGCAACGCCGCGUGGGGGAAGAAGGUUUUUGGAUUGUAAACCCCUUUUCUCAAGGAAGAACAAAAUGACGGUACUUGAGGAAUCAGCCUCGGCUAACUCCGUGCCAGCAGCCGCGGUAAUACGGAGGAGGCAAGCGUUAUCCGGAAUUAUUGGGCGUAAAGCGCUCGUAGGCGGCUGUUCAAGUCUGCUGUCAAAGACCGAGGCUCAACCUCGGGUAGGCAGUGGAAACUGGAUAGCUAGAGGUCGGUAGGGGCAGAGGGAAUUCCCAGUGUAGCGGUGAAAUGCGUAGAUAUUGGGAAGAACACCGGUGGCGAAAGCGCUCUGCUGGGCCGAACCUGACGCUGAGGGACGAAAGCUAGGGGAGCGAAUGGGAUUAGAUACCCCAGUAGUCCUAGCUGUAAACGAUGGAUACUAGGUGUUGGGCGUAUCGACCCGUUCAGUACCGUAGCUAACGCGUUAAGUAUCCCGCCUGGGGAGUACGCACGCAAGUGUGAAACUCAAAGGAAUUGACGG